rnacentral:lncRNA from 1 species
AACUCCAAUUUCUAAGUUCCCCCAAAGAACCUAGUUACCUGGUGGGCAGAUGGUUCCUGCAGAAGAGGCCUGCCUGGGUUUUGGUGCACGACAACCCUAGUCCUUGCAACGGUUUCCUUUCUCCUUUAUGUUCCCUAAGAUCUAUGUUUUCCUGUCUCUCAUGUCCCGGAGCAGUUUCUAAUGCACAGCGGUUCACAGGGAUCUUCUUAGGAGCAUUCAGGCUCUUUUGUGAAGAUCUUCUUUAAAUUGCAAGAGAAUAAGCCACAAUACCCUUAUAUUGUAGACAUUUCUUAUCCCAUCCAGCUUUCUUCCUUCCUACUCCCAAAUUGCAACCAACAUCCGAGCCAUAUUAAACUCCUUGCUCUCCCCAAAGCCCCCCAUGACCUUUCACCUUUCUGAGCCUUUGCAUGUGUCUCAUAUUCUGCUAGAAUGCCCAUGCCCUAGCCCUUCCAUAGUAGCUAGAAAAGUGGGCCCCCAAAAGAUAUCCAUGUCUAAUCCCUGAACCUGUGAAUGUUGCCUUCUGUAGAAAAAAAAAAGCAGAGGAUCUUUGGAUCCGUGAUGAAGCUAAGGAUCUUGAAAUGGGGAGAUUAUCUGGGUGGGCCCUCAAUGCAAUCAGAUGCAUCUUUUUACGAGGGAGGCAGAGGGAGAUUUGACCCACCUGGAGGAGAAGGCAUUGUGAAGACGGAGGCAGAAAUUGGAGUGAUAUGGGAAGAGGCAAGGAGUGCUGGCAGCCCCCAGAAACUAAAAGAGGCAAGAGGAGCUGCUCCUGAGAGCCCCCAGAGGAAGCGCAGCUCUGCCAGCUUCGGCCCUGGGAUACUGGUUUCAGACUUCCAGCUUCAGAACUAAACCACCUCCUAAAUAACAAUGAAGAUGGAACACAAAAACAGACACACUUUGUUCUGUGGAACUAGGAGACAGCUGGCACAUAAACCAUACUACAUGAAGAUGGACAGGUGAUGGAGGUGUGGAAGCUGACUCACCAGAGAUGAGGAAGGCAAUGCUGGCACAGAGAAUGGUGACAAGAAGAAAGCUGAGUAAUGGAAAGGCUCAGGAGUCACCACCAGAGAAUUGAGCCAGAGCAGUUCCACACUGGAGGACCCAAGCAAAAUGGAAGGUGGGGUGAGAUCUGGACUGAACAUGGGGAGACUAAGUGACUGACAAAAUCCCUACCACCUCCCCAACCAGGUUCCCAGAAUGCCUGCUGCCCAGAGAGGAGAUUGGAGUGUCCUCCUCAGAAGGAACGGUCCCAGGAGAAAAGACUUGUCAAGUCAGGUAUCUGAAGCCUUUCAUGCACUGACACCUCCACCAAAAUCCAGAUCUGUGUGUUUUCUCCACCCAGAUAUUCCUUAAUCCUCAUCUCAAAACCCAAAUCUCAGCUUUUAAUUUUUUAAAUUUUUCCUCCUAAAUCUGCUCUUCAUGCAAUCCUGUCAUCUAGCUAGUCUCUCAAGCCUGAAAACUGAGUGGUCAUUGAUUUCCUCUCUCCAUUUCUUAGUGAUGCAGUCUGUCAAUUUUUAGUUCCCGAGAAUCUUCCACAUCUGUGCUUUCCUCACAGCUCCUGCUUUAAUUCACGUCACAGCAUCUCUCCUUAGGAUGACCACAAUAGUAACCUUCUAACCGGCCUCGUUAAACCCGUCCUCCGCAGCCUGCAGCGUGCUCUAAAAUAAAAAUUAGAUCAAGGUCUCCAGCCCCCUGAGAUCCCUUUGUGCUGCUGUUACCUUCUUCUCACCAACCACGUCCCUUGCCCCAGCCCAGUGAAAUGGUUCUAAAAUUUAAUAAGCAUCAGCAUAAUCUGAAUGGCACCCUCAAAAUGCAUAUCCCUGGGCCCCUUGCUGAUUCUAAUUCAGCAAAUCACCCAAGGUCAUUCUCUGCAAAUGUCCUUUGAUCACAGUAAGAAACACCUGGCUAGAGCUUCCUGUCUCAAUUC